rnacentral:RNase_P_RNA from 1 species
UCAGGCGGCCGGGCGGCCGCUCCGGGCCUCGCGCCCGGGGAGGAAAGUCCGGGCUCCAUGGAGAGACGGUGCCGGAUAACCUCCGGCGGGGGCGACCCCAGGGACAGUGCCACAGAGAGCAGACCGCUCCGGACGUGCCUUCGGGCCCGCCCCGGAGUCAGGGUGAAAGGGUGCGGUAAGAGCGCACCGCGGACGCGGCAACGCGGACGGCACGGCAAACCCCACCGGGAGCAAAACCGAAUAGGGGCGGCGCGCGGUCUCUCGCGAGGGAGCCGCAGGCCCUCUCUCCAGGCCAGUCGCCCGGGUUGGUUGCUCGAGGCGGUCGGCAACGGCCGUCCCAGAGGAAUGGCUGCCACGUCCCGGGUGCCGCGAGGCGUCCGGGGCCCUACAGAACCCGGCUUACAGGCCGCCUGAUCCG